ACUCCUACGGGGAGGCAGCAGUGGGGGAAUAUUGCACAAUGGGGGGAAACCCUGAUGCAGCCAUGCCGCGUGUGUGAAGAAGGCCUUCGGGUUGUAAAGCACUUUCAGUAGGGAGGAAGGUAGUGUAGUUAACACCUGCACUAUUUGUACGUUACCUACAGAAGAAGCACCGGCUAACUCCGUGCCAGCAGCCGCGGUAAGUACGGAGGGUGCGAGCGUUAAUCGGUAAUUACUGGGCGUAAAGCGCAUGCAGGCGGCCUGUUAAGUCAGAUGUGAAAGCCCGGGGUCUUAACCGUCGGAAUUGCAUUUGAAACUGGCAGGCUAGAGUCUUGUAGAGGGGUUAGAAUUUCGAGUGUAGCGGUGAAAUGCGUAGAGAUCGUAGAAGG
rnacentral:rRNA from 1 species